GGGUGGAUCACGAGGUCAAGAGAUCGAGACCAUCCUGACUAGAGAAGAAGACAGGAACCAGGAUGGGAAGAUGGACAUGUUACAUUUUAAGCUGGAGCUUCCCCUGCAGUCUACGGAGCACAUUCUCGGUGUGCAGCUCAUCCUGACUUUCUCCUAUCAGUUACACAGGAUGUCAACCUUCGUGAUGCAGAGCAUGGCAUUUCUUCAGUCUUCCUUUGCUAUCCCUGGAUCCCAGUUAUAUGUGAAUGGAGACCUGAGGCUGCAGCAGAAAUAGCCGCUGAGCUGUGGCGGCCUAGAUGCCCGAUACAAUGUAUCCGUGAUCAACGGGACCAGCCCCUUUGCCUAUGAUUAUGACCUGACACGUAUUGUUGCUGCCUACCAGGAAAGGAACGUUGCCACCAUCCUGAAUGACCACAACUUUAUCUGGCUGGGUGGGCAGAGCCAUGAAACUCCAUUUGUGAUUAAUGCUGUCAUCCAAUACACGGUGGAAACCAUAUUAUAUCCUUUCUGUUAGAGAGGCGGUGGUAGCUCAGUUUCCAAAAAGGGAAGAUUCCAAAGUUGUCCCCAGCAGGAACAGCUGUGGGGAGCCUUUGAUUGGAAAUUGCUACAGCACUGUAUUCCGACAUAAUGACUGUGUCUGCUCUUUAUACGGGGGAAAGUCAUUUCCUGUUCAUAUUUCUUUCUGAGCCAUUCUUCUAAGUCAGAAUCAUCCAUAUUUAUUUCUUAAUAAUCUUUUAUUAUUCCUUUCAUCCUAAGAGUAUUUGAAAUAUUCUUGCCAUUUCCUUUCUGGCCUAAACCUUAGUUUACUUUGACUGAUAGCAUGUGGCCCUCUACUGCUUAACUGUCCGUACUUAUCAGCCAGGAUUCAGGGAGAUGGUAAAGCUCACCUGGGUGCAGUAUGUCAGCAUCCUGCUUAUCUUCCUCUGGGUGUUUGAAAGAAUCAAGAUCUUUGUGACCACCAUCUCUGUGACAGCGAUGCCCCUGGGAGAAGUGUGGAAGGAGCACUUAUCCUAGGAAGGCCAUUUCUGAGGACUCAGCAGGAUGGUGGCUGCCUCAUUGUCAUCUCCUGGGAACAUCUUAGGAUGUUUCUGAAAGAGCCCAGGGGACACAUGCGGGCUUGUGUGCUCUUCCCCUCGGAGACAAAGAACAGUUCUUCCGUUUGCUCUAUACAAAGUCCGUAUCUUCAGAGCUCCUGCAGAAUCAUCAGGGAGUAGUUUGUGAAAAGGUCUGAGGGUUCCUGGAGGCUGUAAUUAGCUUUUUGGGUUUUUCUUCUUUGACUUAGCGUUGAAUUUCAGGAGAAAAUUGCAGUCAGUUCAGACAUCUUGGAAAGAGUCCCAUCUCUGGUCAAGCAGAGACUUCCUCUGUUGAGUGAGAAACACACUGUGCAUUUCUUCCUUCUACUGUGAGCCACUCUUACUCUUUUCAGGGCUCCCUUGUGACAAACAUGCCAAUCACUAGCACUUUGCACCCCUGGGCCUCUCCAUUUCCCAUUCAGAGCUUUGAUUUCCAGAGCUGAGGCCUUUCGCUGCAGACCUAGAGGGGCAGGGCCCAAGGGGGAGGGCCGCCUUGGCACAGGCAUGAGGGAGGGCCGCUGAAGGACACUCGGACCGUCCACCUGCCUCGGCCCGAAAGUCAGUCAUCUGUCAUCAGCUCAGCGGAGCAGCCCUGGAUGCCUGCCUGCCUGUGGCUGGCUCUUUGCCCUGUUUUGCCCUCUGUCUGCGCCCCUGGAUGGCAGGCUGAAGUCAGAGGGGCUGUUCAUUCCCAGCCCCCUCAGCAGCACUGGGGGAAGAAAAGGUUGUCACAACAGGUUCUUUCUGGCCCUCACUCAACAGCCUGGGCACUUGGCCCUCCUCCUCCUUGACAGCCCUCCCGCUUCUGGAAAGGACAGGGGUGACAAGAGUUGGUGUUGGGAUUGGCUCCCACUGCCUAACAACCACAAGUUUAUUUGGAAGGCUAGCGGGAAGCCCAGCGGCUUGUGUUUCCCUUGACUAAGGAACAGGGUGCUCAUUAGAGUGGGGCGGGCAGCUUUGGGAAGGACACAAGAAGCAGUGAGGGAGUAAGGAGGAUGCUGGCCCGGGCAGGCCAGUCCAGCCUGGCCACUAGCAGAAUGCCAAGCAGUCCAGCUGGAUUACCAGGGUGGCUGAGCAAGUGUCUGCGGGAGCAGAGAUGGCUGGAAGGGGCCUCUGCACAUGGAAGACGGCUUGUUCAGCCUGUUCACCUCCUGAGGACGCGAGCCGUCUCCUCUAAGGACAGAUGGAGCUGCUUCCUGAUCCCAAGCAGGUCGUUGCCACUGGAAGACAUGGCCUCUGUGAUUUAUGCAUCAUGCCCACAAACACACCUCUUAGUAUGUGCCUCCGUUUACCUUGGAGAUCAGCUCUCAUCUCCAGCACCGUUUCCUUUAGGCUGACUAAAAACAGUUUUGGAAACAAAGCUAUUGUCAAGUAUACAAGCAGAGGAAUUCCCUAACACUGUCCCCCUAGUCUUUUUUUCAUAUUCAGGCUGUUUUAUAUGACUAAUUUUUUUUCUUGAGAUUUAUUUAUUUUUAUAGAUUCGGGUCCUCACUAUAUUGCCCAGGCUGGUCUUGAACUCCUAGCCUCAAGCAAUCCUUCUGUGUCAGCCUCCCAAAGUGUCAAGAAUAUAGGCAUGAGCCAGUGUGCCUGGUCUCUUGAGACUGAAACUAAAAAAUUGUUGGCGGUUUAAAUCCCCGAAAGGUAAUGAAACAUGGAAAGAUGGCUAAAGAUAUGUAUAAACUUUGGUUUGGAUUUUAUUAAAUUAUUUGAAUGCAAAACUUGUAUAAAGAAUGCAUUACGUUCUGUAGCUUACUAAUUAAAAUGUUCAACAUG